rnacentral:rRNA from 1 species
UGGGGAAUUUUGGACAAUGGGCGAAAGCCUGAUCCAGCAAUGCCGCGUGUGUGAAGAAGGCCUUCGGGUUGUAAAGCACUUUUGUCCGGAAAGAAAUCCUUGGCUCUAAUACAGUCGGGGGAUGACGGUACCGGAAGAAUAAGCACCGGCUAACUACGUGCCAGCAGCCGCGGUAAUACGUAGGGUGCAAGCGUUAAUCGGAAUUACUGGGCGUAAAGCGUGCGCAGGCGGUUUGCUAAGACCGAUGUGAAAUCCCCGGGCUCAACCUGGGAACUGCAUUGGUGACUGGCAGGCUAGAGUAUGGCAGAGGGGGGUAGAAUUCCACGUGUAGCAGUGAAAUGCGUAGAGAUGUGGAGGAAUACCGAUGGCGAAGGCAGCCCCUCGUAGGUCCAAUACUGACGCUCAUGCACGAAAGCGUGGGGAGCAAACAGGAUUAGAUACCCUGGUAGUCCACGCCCUAAACGAUGUCAACUAGUUGUUGGGGAUUCAUUUCCUUAGUAACGUAGCUAACGCGUGAAGUUGACCGCCUGGGGAGUACGGUCGCAAGAUUAAAACUCAAAUGAAUUGACGGGGUCAUAGCUGUUUCCU